AUCCUCAGGUUCAUAAGCAUGAUGAUUGGGUGUUCAUGCUCCAUGCAUGACAUGUGCCUCCUUUGAACUUUAUUAGGAUGUUGGCACGUUGCCCAUCUGACA
rfam:Cavia porcellus supercont2_24 genomic scaffold, whole genome shotgun sequence.